ACUGACAAAUGCGUCGGCUGAGCUGGACACAAGAGAACGCUAAUUAGAUGGAAAUUGGCCAUGGCUCGAGCAAAGCUUGGCGCUCCGGAUGCAGAGCUCAGAGAUGGCGAAAACCAAUCGCCGGCUGCUGUCUUUGCGGUUCUUCUUAGCUUUCCUCUCGAUCUCGUUUGCCGCUGGGUUCCAGUCCGAUGAGUUGAUGCAGGAUGACGAGGAGUUCGGGCUCGAGGGCGGCCGACCAGCCGCCGAUCCCCAGCUCUACAUCCCUACCCAAACACCAGUCCGCCGAAGACCCGAACUUGAUCUGCUAGCUGGAUCCUCCGAUUCGAAGUCGAUCCAGUUCUCUCUGGAGCAUGAGUUGGGAACCCCUGGCUUCUCGCCUGCUGGAACUUUUACGGCUCGCCUCAAGUCCUGGAGCCAUGGAGGACAGACUCUAACUAAGCUUAGGUUCUCGAGAAACGCACUGACAGAGGAAGAAAAGAAGGCUUUCAAGAAACUAUUGAAAGAAGAUGGCUACUAUACGAUCAGAGUGCCAUCUAAUGUGUUAGAUCCUCCAGGAAGAGAUUUUGUUGUUUCAUCAGUCAGAGCUAGGUGCAUCCCUAGAGAGAUUUUGGACGAGCAUUUUAUCAUCCAUGCGGAUGGUGUGAAUAUUUUGGCAGUGAAUUAUGGGUCAGCUGAAGCUUGUCAAUAUCCGAGAUUACUCAGAUAUCCUGCAAAGUGGUCUUUCACAUCAUAUACAGUUAUGAAGACCAGCGAGCAAGCUCCAAGAACUCCUACAUUUGCUGAAAAAUUGCUUGCCGUGGAGGAGGGAGUUGGUGAAGGUGUAAAGCCUCCUGAAAAAACUUUCUGGGCUAAAUAUUGGAUGUAUUUAGUUCCUCUGGUCUUCAUUGUGCUGAAUGCCAUGACUCAAGCCAUGAACAUGCCACCGGAAGAGGGGGCUGCUGGGCAAGCUGCACAGCUGGCACCAAGUGCUAAUGUUAGAAGAAGAUGAAAAGAUUUAGGUCCACAAAUUAAUCCUGAGGAGAGCAUGGAAAAUUGCUUUGAAGUAUUCUUCUGCUCUUUACUUGAGAAAGACUUGAUGGGGGCAAAUUCUUUUAUCCCUUAUGUCUUUACCGAGAGGGGGAGGGAGAGGCAGUUAACAGCCUACUUCUCAUCGAUUAUGAAUGAGAAAGCUGGUGCAUCCCUCUUUCACAAUCUAAAGCGCAAGCAAUGCGGUUCUUGUUUGUAUGCUUCAAGCUUUUUGGUCCCGACGCCAAAAUCAUGAAACUGAUGAUUGAUCUGACAUCAAACAUUGUUGCCUCCUUUUCUACACGAUUCAAAUGCUCGAUUCUCAUUUAUAAAAUUAUUCGGUAGAAUUUCAUUCAGAUGUUCCACUUGCAAUCCACAAUGUAUUUGGUUUAGUCGCAUUAUUUACUCAGGUUGGUGUUGAA